UACGUAGGGUGCGAGCGUUGUCCGGAAUUAUUGGGCGUAAAGAGCUCGUAGGCGGUUUGUCACGUCUGCUGUGAAAACUGGAGGCUCAACCUCCAGCCUGCAGUGGGUACGGGCAGACUAGAGUGCGGUAGGGGAGAAUGGAAUUCCUGGUGUAGCGGUGGAAUGCGCAGAUAUCAGGAGGAACACCGAUGGCGAAGGCAGUUCUCUGGGCCGUAACUGACGCUGAGGAGCGAAAGCGUGGGGGAGCAAACAGG
rnacentral:rRNA from 1 species